rnacentral:rRNA from 1 species
AGAACGAACGCUGGCGGCAUGCCUAACACAUGCAAGUCGAACGCUUUUGGGGCUUCGGUCCCAAAGGAGUGGCGCACGGGUGAGUAGCGCGUGGGAACCUGCCCUGUUGUGGGGGAUAACCGAGGGAAACUUCGGCUAAUACCGCAUACGCCCGGGGGAAACUCCGGGGAAAGAUUUAUCGCAGCAGGAGGGGCCCGCGUCGGAUUAGGUAGUUGGUGGGGUAACGGCCCACCAAGCCUGUGAUCCGUAGCUGGUCUGAGAGGAUGAUCAGCCACACUGGGACUGAGACACGGCCCAGACUCCUACGGGAGGCAGCAGUGGGGAAUAUUGGACAAUGGGCGCAAGCCUGAUCCAGCAAUGCCGCGUGAGUGAUGAAGGCCUUCGGGUUGUAAAGCUCUUUCGCACGCGACGAUGAUGACGGUAGCGUGAGAAGAAGCCCCGGCUAACUUCGUGCCAGCAGCCG